AUUUAAUAGUUAAUUCAAUAAAAAAUAUAAUAUAUAUUUAGAUAAACCGACCUCUUUUCUAAGGAUUUUGAGAAUAAUCUUAGUGAUGACACGUGGUUACAGUCAAAGGUUGCAAUGCUCCUCAAUUAAUAUAUAAUGGAUUUGUUUGUCAAAAAACAAUUAUAUACUAAUUUAUUUUUCUACCAAAAUUUAUAGGUUUGAAUCUGACAUGUAAUAAAUAAAUAUGACUAAAAUUUCACAAGUGGACCUAUAUAAGGAGCUUCAAAUAUCUUGAAAUACUCCAGAAGAUCCAAUUAAAUAACAUUCUCAAGAUUUUACAGAUACCAUAGAAAUAAUUUAUUGAGGAAAACAAAACAUGGAUGUUUGGAGAUCUCCAUAUGCUUUUAUUGCAGUUUCUGUCAUAGUAAUGUUCCUUAUCAUAGGAUCAGAAGCAAGAUCAGGGUUAAAUGAUGAAUGUCCAGGGGUAUGCCAUUCCGGUAUUGUACCAGACUGCGAUACACUCUGCAUUAGCUUAGGGUUCACUGGAGGCUUCUGUAAAGGAUUAACGUGUUGCUGCAAUCCCAAAUCCCCUAAAAUCCUAAAUAUACCUCCUCCUUAAUUUUAUUGUUUGUUAAUCUCAAUUAUGAAAUAACAACUAAUAAAGCUUAAAAGUUUGACUAAAACUAAUGUUAUUUCCAUUUUAUU